rnacentral:rRNA from 1 species
UGCGGCAAGGUCCACCUCUUCCCAUUCCGAACAGAGAAGUUAAGCCUGCCCGCGCCGAUGAUACUGCCAUACCAGGUGGAAAAGUAGGUCGUCGCCAACU